UACGUAGGGUGCGAGCGUUGUCCGGAAUUACUGGGCGUAAAGAGCUCGUAGGUGGUUUGUCGCGUUGUCCGUGAAAACUCACAACUCAAUUGUGGGCGUGCGGGCGAUACGGGCAGACUGGAGUACUGCAGGGGAGACUGGAAUUCCUGGUGUAGCGGUGAAAUGCGCAGAUAUCAGGAGGAACACCGGUGGCGAAGGCGGGUCUCUGGGCCGAAACUGACGCUGAGGAGCGAAAGCGUGGGGAGCAAACAGG
rnacentral:rRNA from 1 species